rnacentral:rRNA from 1 species
UACGGAGGGUGCAAGCGUUAUCCGGAAUCAUUGGGUUUAAAGGGUCCGCAGGCGGAUUUAUAAGUCAGUGGUGAAAGCCUACAGCUUAACUGUAGAACUGCCAUUGAUACUGUAAGUCUUGAAUUUGGUCGAAGUGGGCGGAAUGUGACAUGUAGCGGUGAAAUGCAUAGAUAUGUCACAGAACACCGAUAGCGAAGGCAGCUCACUAGGCCAACAUUGACGCUCAUGGACGAAAGCGUGGGGAGCAAACAGG